AGAGACAGAAGCUAUAAACCAGCAGUUAACUGUUACUUAACCCACAGUGAAAUAAUUUCACCUUCUCUA
rnacentral:tRNA from 1 species